CCACACCCAGCUAAUUUUUGUAUUUUUAGUAUAGAUGGGGUUUUGCCACGUUGGCCAAGCUGAUCUCAAGCUCCUGACCUCAGGUGAUCCACCUGCCUUGGCUUUCCAAAGUGCUGGGAUUACAGGCAUGAGCCACUGUGUCUGGCUGAGAUUGCUUUUUUGUAAGUAAUCUGUUGUUACUUUGGGUUACUUUUCUGUAAGGGAUAGAGCAGAGGGGACUUCCUUAUUAUACUGGAAUCUUCUGUCUUCAGGAGAAGAAAAAAAAAACUCGUCUAUUUUGGGACCUGUUUUUUAAAGUUUUAGUUUGAUUUUGUGGUGCUUAGCAUGAGUGACUCCAUUUUGGUUUGGUCUGGUCUGCUUGGGAUUAGUGCAGGAGCUCAGUCCAAAACAAUGGCCCCUCAUAAUUUUGUUUAAUACAUGAAAUUCAAAUUUCAAACUUGUAGACAUUUGCUCUCUCUCUUAUUAUAUAAGUACCUACACAAUGUCCUCAAAUUUGCUUUUUGAUCUGUAAAGACUAAGAUAUUUAUCAUCUAGUUUUACAGAAAAGUUUGCAGAUCUUCUGGUUUAAAAGAGCAGGAGAUUUAGUGUCAGGCAGGUUUGGAUUGAGCCCAAGGGCUGCCAUUUACUGAUUGUAUGACUUUGAGCAAGGUAUUUAUCGUUUUCUAAGCCUCAAUUUCCUCAUCUAUAAAAUGGGCACACAAAUAGUAUUUACCUUGGAGAGUUAAAUGGGAUAAUGCAUUUAAUGUGCUUAACACAGUGCCUAUCAGAUGCUUAGGGGCUCAACACAUUAUUUUUGUUAUUGUUGUUGUUUUACCCUAAAGUAAAUGAGACAAAAUAGCAAAGCUAAAUGAGGAGGAAUUUUUAAGUUACAUCAGAAACUGUAAUAGAUUCUAAAAUAUUAUAAUUAAGAAAUUUCAUACUUAUUUAAAAAGGCAUUUUCAAUUUAACAAUUUAACAAUUUAACCCUCUUAUAAGUUAAAAAAAAAAAAAAAAAAAAAAAGCCCGGCACGGUGGCUCACGCCUGUAAUCCCAGCUCUUUAGGAGGCUGAGGUGGAUGGAUCAGGAGGUCAGGAGUUCAAGACCAGCCUGGCUAACGUGGUGAAACCUCGUCUCUACUAAAAAUACAAAAAUUAGCUGGGCGUGGUGGUGCAUACCUGUAAUCCCAGCUACUCAGGAAGCUGAGGCAGGAGAAUCGCUUGAACCCGGAGGCAGAGGUUUCAGUGAGCCAAGAUCGUGCCACUGCACUCCAGCCUCGGCAACAGAGCAAGACUCCAUCUCAAAAAGAAAAAAGAAAUAAAAAUAAAAAGUCAUGCCCAGCUAUUUUGGGAGAACUGAAAUUACAACUCUAUCUGAGAAAAUAAAAUGACAGGACUCCACAGAAUCCAUAGAUAAAAAUUUAACUGAAGAGGAAUAUGGAACAGACCAAAGGAAAAAUUUUAUCAAGCUGUAAUCUUUAUACUUGUGCCUAAGGCCAGAACUUGAAACUGCUGAAGACAGUGUUUCUCUACAAAUGCACACAAGCACCCCAUUUUGAUGCACAGAUAGGUGUUUAUUUCUUUUAAGAAUAGCAGCUUUAUUGAGAUAAAUUUCACAUAUGAUACAAUUCACCAAUUUAAAGUGUACAAGUCAAUGGUUUUCAGUAUAAUCAGAGUUGUACUACCAUCACCAUAAUCAAUUUUAGAACAUUUUCAUCACCGCCCAAAAACCACUGUAGUCUCUCCCCAGCCCUCCACUCCUGGGAACCAUUAAUGUACUUUCUGUCUCUAUAGAUUUGCCUAUUUUGGAUAUUUUAUAUAAAUGGAAUCAUACAACAUGUGGUCUUUUGUGAAUAGCUUUUUUCACUUACCAUAAUGUUUUCAAGAUUGAUUCAUUUUGUAGCAGGUAUCAGUCCUUUUUCCUGUUUAUUGCCAAAUAAUUUUCCAUUGUAUGGAUAGAUCAUAUUUUGUUUAUCCAUUUGUCACAUUUUGGUUGUCUAUCAGUUGAUAGAUAUUUGUGGUGCAUUUAAUUUUUGGCCAAUGUGUAAAACUUAUUUUGCUCUCACUGAGGCUACAUACUGUUACAACAAUGCUAUUUGGUCAACUUGACUGAGCUGGCCUCAUAGGUUACAGGUUGCUCAUUGUUAGAGAUGAGACUUUAGACCAGACUGGACAACAUAGUGAGACCCUGUCUCUACCAAAAAGAAAAAGAAAAAUUAGCCAGAUGUAAUGGCAUAUGACUGGAGUCCCAGCUACUUGGGAGGCUGAGACGGGAGGAUCACUUGAGCCCAGGAGUUUAGGACUGCAGUGAGCUGUGAUCGUGCCAAUGCAAUCCAUGCUGGGCAACAGAGUGAGACCCUGUCUCAAAAAACAGAAAGAGGGAUUUUAGUAUAACAUUCAGCCAGUGCCAUAUUGGGAACCCACAAGAAUGUACUUAAAAAAAUAUGUCAAAGAAGGUGGUGAGGGCUGUAAUAGCUGCUAUUCAGGCAGUAAUGCAGUGCUGAAGGGACAUCAAGCAAAUAGUGUGAUGCCUGUGGGUGCAAUGUUACUCCUUCCCUUAGGUUGCCAAAAAAAUCAAUACUUCAUAGCAUUCCUGAAACGAAAAAGCUUAUGAACCAUUGUGUUUAGGGUGUAAGCUAUCUAUUUUGGGCUACCCAUCACAGCUUCUCUCCUUUGGUAGAAUAAAGUGAACUGAACCACCAUG
rnacentral:lncRNA from 1 species